rnacentral:rRNA from 1 species
GACGAACGCUGGCGGCGUGCUUAACACAUGCAAGUCGAACGGAAAGGCCCCUUUGGGGGUACUCGAGUGGCGCACGGGUGAGUAACACGUGAGUAACCUGCCCUUGACUUCGGGAUAACUUCAGGAAACUGGGGCUAAUACCGGAUAGGAAUCCUUGCUGCAUGGUGGGGGUUGGAAAGCUUCGGCGGUUUUGGAUGGACUCGCGGCUUAUCAGCUUGUUGGUGGGGUAGUGGCUUACCAAGGCUUUGACGGGUAGCCGGCCUGAGAGGGCGACCGGCCACAUUGGGACUGAGAUACGGCCCAGACUCCUACGGGAGGCAGCAGUGGGGAAGAUUGCACAAUGGGCGGAAGCCUGAUGCAGCAACGCCGCGUGCGGGAUGACGGCCUUCGGGUUGUAAACCGCUUUCAGCAGGGGCGAAGCUUGUGGUGACGGUGCCUGCAGAAGAAGCACCGGCUAACUACGUG